rnacentral:rRNA from 1 species
CGGACGGGUGAGUAACGCGUGGGUAACCGUGCCUUGUACAGGGGGAGAACAGUUGGAAACGGCUGCUAAUACCGCAUAAGCGCACGGCAUCGCAUGAUGCAGUGUGAAAAACUCCGGUGGUAUAAGAUGGACCCGCGUUGGAUUAGCUAGUUGGUGAGGUAACGGCCCACCAAGGCGACGAUCCAUAGCCGACCUGAGAGGGUGACCGGCCACAUUGGGACUGAGACACGGCCCAA